rnacentral:rRNA from 1 species
AAUGAACGUUGGCGGCGUGGAUUAGGCAUGCGAGUCGAACGGGCCGCAAGGCCAGUGGCGGAAGGUGAGUAAUGCGACGGUAACCAACCCCGGGAAUGGGUAUAGCCGCGGGGAACUGCGGGUAAUCCCCAGCGACGUGUCGAGUCGGCAUCGGCUUGACACCAAAGUUCCGGCGUCCUGGGACGGGCCGUUGGGGUAUUAGCUAGUUGGCGGGGUGACGGCCCACCAAGGCUACGAUGCCUCCCGGGCGUGCGAGCGUGGCCCGGCACACUGGGACUGAGACACUGCCCAGACUCCUACGGGAGGCUGCAGUCGAGAAUCUUCGGCAAUGGGCGCAAGCCUGACCGAGCGACGCCGCGUGGAGGACGAAGGCCUUCGGGUUGUAAACUCCUGUCGAGGGGGAGGAAGGCGUAAGCUUGACCGAUCCCUGGAGGAAGCACGGGCUAAGUUCGUGCCAGCCGCCGCGGUAAGAC